rnacentral:rRNA from 1 species
AGCAGCCGCGGUAAUUCCAGCUCCAAUAGCGUAUAUUAAAGUUGUUGCAGUUAAAAAGCUCGUAGUUGAAUUUCGGGAUCAAUAUGUUGGUCGUGCCUUGGUACGUACUGGCGUCAUUGGUUUCUACCUUCUGAAGAACCUCGAUGUCAUUAAUUUGGUGUCUUGGGGAAUCAGGACUGUUACUUUGAAAAAAUUAGAGUGUUUAAAGCAAGCUCACGCUUGAAUACAUUAGCAUGGAAUAAUGAAAUAGGACGUUUGAUUCUAUUUUGUUGGUUUCUAGGAUCGACGUAAUGAUUAAUAGGGAUAGUUGGGGGCAUUAGUAUUCAAUUGUCAGAGGUGAAAUUCUUGGAUUUAUUGAAGACUAACUACUGCGAAAGCAUUUGCCAAGGAUGUUUUCAUUAAUCAAGAACGAAAGUUAGGGGAUCGAAGACGAUCAGAUACCGUCGUAGUCUUAACCAUAAACUAUGCCGACUAG